CCCUUAGAUGCUCUGGGCCGCACGCGCGCUACACUGAUGAAUGCAACGAGCUCUACCCUUGACCGAAAGGCCCGGGUAAACUUGUGAAACUUCAUCGUGAUGGGGAUAGAUUAUUGCAAUUAUUAAUCUUCAACGAGGAAUUCCUAGUAAGCGCGAGUCAUCAGCUCGCGUUGAUUACGUCCCUGCCCUUUGUACACACCGCCCGUCGCUCCUACCGAUUGAAUGGUCCGGUGAAAUCUUCGGAUUGCUGACCAAGAUCCAGCAAUGGAGCUUGGUUGCGAGAAGUUGAUUAAACCUUAUUAUUUAGAGGAAGGAGAAGUCGUAACA
rnacentral:rRNA from 1 species